UGUACUUGUCCAAAAGGGAAAUACAGAACCCCCAUCUAAACUAAACAUGUUCCCAAUAGGUUAAUCAAGUAUGUGCAAUGAACUUUGGGAAUCAAGUGAAUUCAUCUCACAGACCUAAUAUGCACAACUCCUCAUAUGCAGCCCACAUUAGAGGAUCCAUCGAUAGUUCCUGUCUUAAAUUAAAAGAAUAGUAUGUUGAUCACUUACAACACUUACACUUACAUAAGAUAUUCAUUGAACUUAUACAACACUUACACUUGAAAAUUCAGUUUCAGAUGUAAUAGAAUUCAACUUUAAGCUUAAAAAAUUAUGUGUUUGUGCACACAUAGAGUGGUAAUGCCGAAAUACUAGCCCAUUGUAAUACCGAAAUUAUGUAAUUAAAUGUUAUAACACUUAAGCCUNNNNNNNNNNNNNNNNNNNNNNNNNNNNNNNNNNNNNNNNNNNNNNNNNNNNNNNNNNNNNNNNNNNNNNNNNNNNNUGAAAUUUCAACUAGCAAAAUAGCAAGAAAAGUUUAAUCUAGAACCAAAGGACAUAGCAAGCAAUGUGUGCCUUAAAGUGGAGUCAUUACCUCUGAACUUCUUCUGAGAACAACCUAUCAGACUUGCAUUUUAACAUUCCAUUGAACUUGAAGGAAGAAAAUAAAUUUUUUAGAGAGGAUGACGACCGAAGAUUUUUGACCACCUCCUAACAAGCGGUUGCGCUCAUGUUAGGUUUACUCUCAAACACAUGAAUCUCAAUAACUCCUAGAACCUCAAUAGGCUUCUUAUAAACUGAUAAGAUAAAAAAAAUAAGAGAAUAAUAACAAUAAGUUUUCUACUUUAAAAAAAAUAAUGAGUUUUCUUAUAGAAUCACCUAACCAAUAAUUUCAACUUUCAAUUAAGUAGUACAAACCUAAAAAUAUUGAUAAAUAAAGAGCUAUAUAAUCUCCCCAUGUGAUAACAAGCUGCAGAGUAUAAUGUUAUGUUAUAGAUGCACCCUUGUUGAACCCUUCAGUCCUAACUUUCAUUGUCACAUAAUGAAGAAAACAACUCAUCAUUCAAAAAGGAGAUCUAUAAAAUUGGAACCCUAAGCAAUGGAACCACAAAAAUUGAAUAACAAAAUUCUGAAAUUCAGAUAUUCCAUAAAAACGUGAAAGUUUAGGUCAUCGGGAUAGAGUUUAAUAUCUUCACAAUAGAAAGAAAAAACACUGAAACAAAAAUAGAUACAAAAUGCAAAGAAACAAGUCUUUGAACAAAUAGAUACAUAAGUGGCCAAUAACUAAACAAAAUCCAAAAACACCAAACCACAAAACACCCCAACAAGAACCACACCAGUGCAGAACUAUAAAUCAAACUACAAAACUACCAACAACACAACAGAACUACAACAAAAAUUGUCCCUAAGAAGCAAAGAAACAAUCUAGAAAAAACACAACAGAUCGAGGACCACAAUGAAACAGUUCCAACAACGAUUUGAAAGCAUGCUCAAAGGGAAGGAAGAAGAAGGGGAAAACAAACCUGAACGUGUAUCAGGACGGCAACGAUUUCUCCACGACAACAAUUUUUGGAAUUGGAACGAUAAUGAUGUUCAAGAGAAUGGUUUCUCUUUGGAGACAUCGGUGAAGAGGUUGGAGAGAACGAGAUCGCCGAGAGUGAUUUAGGGAUUUACGGUGAAGAGAACGAUUGAAGACACUGGAGAUCAUGUUUUAGGGAUUUAGGGAUUUGUGAUAGUGUGAGUGAGUUUUGAUAAAUCGUGUUAGGUAGUGAUUUUUUUUUUCUUCUUUUUUUUGCAAAAGCCAAAACAUUGCAACUGUUCACUUAACUGUCGCA
rnacentral:lncRNA from 1 species